UCGUUUGUAUAAGAAGCCAGAAACUCCACCAAGUUGUUUGAGCUGUUGUGUGGCAGGGGCCAGGGGGAGAAGGCAAUACCAUUUCCUUUACAGUGGCGCCCAACUAGUGAUCGGCACCCACGACCCUGAGAUCGUUUUCUCUUCGUUUUCGCCGUGGCUUCAGUUCGUGCUCGCCGUUUCGAAAUAUAUUUUAUUUCUCGUCGUUCAACUCACUUCACCGAGAUUGCUACUACGGCCAUGGAGAUGGAAAGGCGUUCGCCAGCCUGGCCUGCAGGCCCCUUACCCGUCGUACGACGCACCACCUCGUGGAACCACACCCAAGGUUUUCCCAUCUCCACGUCUGCAGCCAGCCACUUGCCGUUGUCCUGUCUUCUUCUCCUGUUAUUGUGUCUUCUCACCCCUUUUGUUUUUCUCCUACUCCAUUUUUCUACUUCUGAGAGUCGAGGUAGUCUCUCGCCGGAGGGGAAUGCUGUGUUACGGAUUUCGUCUCGUAUUGAUUUACGCAUGUCGUUGUAUUUGGUUCUUGUCUUGUGGAGUCCAGUGUCUGAUGUCAUAUAUGGUCUAGGUGUACGCGCGAGUAUGGUGUGAUGUGUGACGUUAAUGGUAUGUGGUGCAUGCAAGAGUACGCGUUGUCAGAGUGUGAGGACGUGCUUCCGUCUGUGUGAGAGUGACUGCCAAGUGAAUGCUGUACAUGCGCAGUGCUAGUUUGGUCUGGGAAUGAGUCAUGUGUGAUUCGUCCGUGGUCUGGUUGUCUUGGUCUUGGUCAUGUGUUCUGUACGUAUUCGUCCCUGAUUGGUCGUCUCGAUUUGUCGUCGGUUUAUUACUGUUUGUUCGUUGUUGUUUUCUUCGAGUCUGGACUGAGUCUUUUCCCGGGAGUCUUUCCCGUCGUCGUUUUCUUUCUAGUCUUUUCGUCUUUCUCCUCCUGUGCCCUUUCCGUUUGUAUAAGAAGUCAGAAACUCCA